rnacentral:rRNA from 1 species
GAUGAACGCUGGCGGCGUGCUUAACACAUGCAAGUCGAACGGUGAAGCCCAGCUUGCUGGGUGGAUCAGUGGCGAACGGGUGAGUAACACGUGAGCAACCUGCCCCUGACUCUGGGAUAAGCGCUGGAAACGGCGUCUAAUACUGGAUACGAGACGUGACCGCAUGGUCAACGUUUGGAAAGAUUUUUCGGUUGGGGAUGGGCUCGCGGCCUAUCAGCUUGUUGGUGAGGUAAUGGCUCACCAAGGCGUC